GACGUAGGUGGCGAGCGUUGUUCGGAAUCACUGGGCAUAAAGCGCACGUAGGCGGCCAAGUCAGUCAGGUGUGAAAUACCUCGGCUCAACCGAGGAACUGGCGCCUGAUACUGCUUGGCUUGAGGUCCGGAGGGGAGAGUGGAAUUCCCGGUGGGAGCGGUGAAAUGCGUAGAGAUCGGGAAGAACGCCGGCGGCGAAAGCGACUCUCUGGUCGGAAUCUGACGCUGAGGUGCGAAAGCUAGGGGAGCAAA
rnacentral:rRNA from 1 species